rnacentral:rRNA from 1 species
AUUGAACGCUGGCGGCAGGCCUAACACAUGCAAGUCGAGCGGAUGAAGGGAGCUUGCUCCUGGAUUCAGCGGCGGACGGGUGAGUAAUGCCUAGGAAUCUGCCUGGUAGUGGGGGAUAACGUCCGGAAACGGGCGCUAAUACCGCAUACGUCCUGAGGGAGAAAGUGGGGGAUCUUCGGACCUCACGCUAUCAGAUGAGCCUAGGUCGGAUUAGCUAGUUGGUGGGGUAAAGGCCUACCAAGGCGACGAUCCGUAACUGGUCUGAGAGGAUGAUCAGCCACACUGGAACUGAGACAUGGUCCAGACUCCUACGGGAGGCAGCAGUGGGGAAUAUUGGACAAUGGGCGAAGGCCUGAUCCAGCCAUGCCGCGUGUGUGAAGAAGGUCUUCGGAUUGUAAAGCACUUUAAGUUGGGAGGAAGGGCAGUAAGUUAAUACCUUGCUGUUUUGACGUUACCAACAGAAUAAGCACCGGCUAACUUCGUG